AUCACCUGUAAUCCCAGCACUUGGGAGGCUGAGGCAAGAGGAUUGCCUAGACCUUCUCUCUCAAAAAAAAAAAAAAAAAAGGUUCCAGUACAUAGCUGGAAGCAUGUGGCAAAGGAAAGCUGCUCACCUCCUGGCAGACCGAGAGGUAAGGGAGGGCUGAGGACAAGACAUACCCUUCUAGUUACACCCCCAGUGACCUACUGCCCCCAACUGGGCUCACCUUUUAACACCCCUUCAGUUAUGAACUCUUCAAUGGGUUAAUCUAUUGAUGAAGUUUUGUGUCCUUGUGAUCCAAUCACCUCUCUAGGCCCCACCUGCUGCCCUGGGACUCAAGCCCUAGAUACAUGAGUUAAAGAAGCUGGGUGUGGGCCUGCAUGCCUGUAAUCCCAGGUACUGGGGAGACUGAGGCAGGAGUUUGCAGUUUCACGGUCAGUGUGGGCAAUUUAGUGAGAUUGUGCCC
rnacentral:lncRNA from 1 species